rnacentral:sRNA from 1 species
ACAGUCUUGUUGACCAUCAGCGAGUUCACACUGGAGAAAGACCUUAUGAAUGUGAUGAAUGUGGGAAAUCUUUUAGCCAUAAGCGCAGCCUUGUUCACCACCAGCGAGUUCACACUGGAGAAAGACCUUAUCAGUGUGGAGAAUGUGGGAAAUCGUUUAAUCACAAGUGCAACCUCAUUCAGCAUCAGCGAGUUCACACUGGAGAAAGGCCUUUUGAGUGUACGGCAUGUGGGAAGUUAUUUAGGAGCAACUCCCACCUAAAGGAACACCAGAGAGUUCACACUGGAGAAAGACCCUAUGAGUGUAAAGAAUGUAGGAAAUCAUUUAGGUACAAGUCACACCUCACUGAACACCAGAGAGUUCACACUGGAGAAAGGCCAUAUGAGUGUGGAGAAUGUGGGAAAUGUUUUCAUCAAAAGGGCAGUCUCAUUCAACAUCAGCAGAUCCACUCUGGAGAAAGGCCACAUGAGUGUGGAGAAUGUGGGAAAUGUUUUCAUCAAAAGGGCAGUCUCAUUCGACAUCAGCAAAUUCACUCUGGAGAAAGGCCACAUGAGUGUGGAGAAUGUGGAAAGUGUUUUCGUCAAAAGGGAAACCUCAUUAAACAUCAACGAGUUCACAUGGGAGAAAGACAUCAUGAAUGUUGAAAAUUUGGCAGAUCUGUUGGUAAAAAGGGCACCCUCAUUCAACAUUCGUGAGAUCACACUGGAAAGCGCUUAUGAGUGUGGAGAAUGUGCAAAAUCAUCUAGCCAAAAGGUUGGCCUCAUUCAACAAUAGCAAGAUCACACUGGGGAAAAGCUUUGUGAGUGUAGAGAACGUAUGAAAUCGUGUACAUAGAAGUUUUGCCUCACUAAAUACCAGAGGGGUCACACUGGAGAAAGACCCUAUAGUUAUGGAGAAUUUGGGAAAUUACUUAACAAGAAGUCCCACCUCACUGAACACUACUGAGUUCACAGUUGAGAAAGGCCAUAUGACUGUAAGGAAUUUGUGAAAUUAUUUAGCCAGAAGAGCUGCAUUACUAUUCAUCAGAUAAUUUACAAUGGAGAAAGGCCACAUAAUAAUUUCUCAUAUAAUAAAUGUGAGAAAUCAUUUCCGUACAGCUCUGCACUCCAUGUUCUUAAGAGUUCACACUGGACAAAGCCUUAUGAGAGCAGCGAGUAGAAAAUCCUUUGUGGGAAAACUCUGGUCUCAUUAAACACAGGAGAGUUCAUGCUAGAGAAAGACCUCAACAGUGUAGCAAAUAUGGAAAGACAUUUACUAGAAGCUCUGCCCUGCAAGUUCACACUAGAGAAAGCCCUUCUCAGUGAAGUAAAUUUGGAAAAUUGAUUAGUCAAACCUCUAUGCUCCUUCAAAAUCAGAGUUCACACUGGAUCAAAGCUUUAUGGUGUGACAGAUGUUUCACAUUCUUUAUCUAAAUGUCUAACAUAUUAUGCACAGACAAGCUCCUGCUGUGGAAGUGCCUUUUGAGUGCAGAGCAUUUGCGAAGGCUUCACUCUUCUUUCAUUGGAUACCAGAAUGUUGACAGGAGAAAAAUAACAUAGAUGUGUGGGAAUAUUACUUCUUGUCCAGUGUAACUGUGGGAGAGAGCCCUUAUGAGGAUGCCAUCAACCUAUAUUGAAUAUCAUGUGUCCAAUAGCUGCAUAAAUUCCAGGGACAUGAUGUCACUCUGAAACUCAGGCUGGAAUACACUGGCAUGGUCAUACCUCACUGCGGCCUCAAACUCCUGGGCUCAAGUGAUCCUCCUGCCUCAGCCUCCCGAGUACCUGAGAUUAGCCCAGGUAAUUUAAGAAUUUUUUGUAGAGAUAGGGUUUUGCUAUUUUACCCUGACUGAUGUUCAACUCCUGGCCUCAAGUAAUCCUCUAGCAUAUGCCCUUGAAAACACUAGGAUUACAGGUGUGAGCCACCAUGCCCAGCCCAAAAAUAAUUUUUAUAGAAUUAGCAUUUCUAGGUAGUGAAGCAGACUGCAACAGAAUA